GUGGGCAGCUCAUUCUGCAGGUCCAUGCAACCGAUCACGUGGUCCAGUUCAGAAGGGGCUGGCACCCCCAUGAAGCCAGCCACACUCCCAUGGGGGUGGGAAUAUGGAGACAUGCAUGGGGAGGGGAUGCCCUCUGGAGACACAAGGCAGGGGCCUCCAGGGCUCCCAGAUCCUGGACUGGCCCACAGGGAGUUCUGCAGCUGAAAAGAGAGGGAAAGAAGGCCCAUGAGCCUGUAGCCUCAGGAGCUGACUUCCCUACCCAGGGGCUUUCUCUUUGUCCUUGGGGCCCCAGAAACUUUCCAGGAAACCUCCACUUGGCUCAGAUCUACCCCCUCUCACCCCCAACACUGGCAGUGGCAUCUCAGGAGGCCCCUGCCACUGUUCUCAAAACGAAAUUUUCUUCUGUGAUUCCUUUGUGUUCCGCAUGCGUCAUUCAUGAGACAGGCAAGAGCCCCGGUUUGCAGAGAAAGAAGUGAAGUGGUGUACCCACUGUCAUACAGAACGCUGACGCUCUCCAGGUUUCUUCAGGCCAGACCUCAUAUUCUUUUUGGUGACCCUGCCAGGUCCUGGUUCAGGUAGGGCUGGGGUCUUACCUGAGGGUGGCUGUCAGUACGGGGCAGCACAGAGAUGUCAUAGGCAGCCGUGAAGGGGUUCCGCCCCUCCUGGAUCUUCCCAUAACGCUCGCGCUUCCGCCACUUGGCUCUGCGGUUCUGGAACCAGACCUGGGGGCAGGUUGUGGGGGUUUGAGGGGGUGAUAGGGCAGCCCUGAGGAAAGGAGCCUGCUAGGGAGAGCUGAUGGUUGUGUCCUCUUGUGGGAUGGGGAGCAGGCUCCAGGAUGGAGGAUCUCAACUGUUAAUCCACACUGUUCUCCAGGCCAGGGAAGCCUGGGAGGAAGCCUGGGAGAGGCCCAAGCCCACAGUGGGUAAUUGGCCCCAUGGGCCUCCAGCUGUCACUCCCCAGGUUGAAUCACUGUGGUCCUCCAGCCUGGCUGUGUCUAGUAAGGGUGUUGUGGGGGCAUCUGUGGGCCUCAGGGGCCCUAGGUACUUCCUGGGUAUACUGUGUACAUGUGUUGGGUUUCUAGUCUCCCUGCCUCAUCUCCUUUUCCAGGCUACCCACCUCAUAGCAUCCGAGGAAUCUUAGACAUUUCUGUUCAGGUCAUGGUCCUGUUUAAACCCUCAGUGACUCCCUGGAGACCUUGGUCCAGAGCAUAGCUUCUUAACAAGGCCCCUGCCUCUCUGCACAGCCUCAUAUCCUGCCAGGCAAACACAUUUAUUCUUCUGGUUGCCUCCCAAGCUCCCGCCCAGCUCUUCUGAAACACUGCUAUCUUGCUCCUUCCAUCUUUUGCUUAGGUUUUCUCUUCCUGGGCUACUCAUCCCCUCAACACAUACAUCCACACUGGGCAUCCUCCACAGGACUUCCAAAAUACCCUGGACCUCUCUUUGUACUCACCCCAUUCCAUUACCAUGAUCUGUUUUGGAAUCUGUUUCUCCCAUUUAUUUGUGAGCCCUUGGCAGAUAGGGGUGGCACAUCUGUGUGUUGUGCACAUCUGUGUACAUAUCUGUGAUGAAUUCGUUGUUUGGUAUAUGUGCUGUGACUGUUACAUUUAACUGUAUUGGUAUAUAUGUUUUGUAUUUCUAUCAUUUAAUCAACAUUUAUGUGUCAGCCUCUAAGCUAAAUUUAACAAUGUCAAAAUAAAACCAACCAAACAAAACAA
rnacentral:lncRNA from 1 species